GGUUAAGCGACUAAGCGUACACGGUGGAUGCCCUGGCAGUCAGAGGCGAUGAAGGACGUGCUAAUCUGCGAAAAGCGUCGGUAAGGUGAUAUGAACCGUUACAGCCGGCGAUGUCCGAAUGGGGAAACCCAGUGCAAUUCGUUGCACUAUCGUUAACUGAAUACAUAGGUUAACGAGGCGAACCGGGGGAACUGAAACAUCUAAGUACCCCGAGGAAAAGAAAUCAACCGAGAUUCCCCCAG
rnacentral:rRNA from 1 species